ensembl:lncRNA novel transcript
GUCUCCUUAAGCCUGCCUAUAAAAUCUGGUGCUGUCUGCUGCAGGCUGGAUUUUUCCUUUUGGGAGCCCCUCUCUCUCACACAGGGAGAGAGCUGUUCUCCUUUCUCUUUCUUCUUCCUAUUAAACCUCCACGCCUAAACUCAGUCCUCUUGGGUGUCUAUGUCCUUAAUUUUCUUAGCGAGAGACUACAAACCCGGGGUAUUUACCCCAGACAACUACCCCGCUUCAUAUUGGGAAUCUCAGCCAGGAUCCCAAGGUACAUUCAUCGGAACGAAAACACUUGUCUCUUCUUUGAUGCUGACUCAAAGGUCUGAUCCCCUGCCUGGAAGCUAACCUUGGAUAGAUUCCCAGAAUUGUCUCUUCUACUCCCACAACCAACCUUUUUCAAAGACUUCAGAAGACUGGAUCAACAUUUUUGCCUAUGUUGGAUGACUCACAGAAGCACACACUAUAUAGUAUAGUGAUUUUACAGCCUUUCUUCUAAACCCAGACUCGCUUAGCUAUGUAUUCUUUAAUGGGCCAAGAGUGCUACAACUUCCACUCUGCUCUACUAGCAGCCACGGGCUUGGAUUUCUACCAAUAAUUAAAUUUAUUAAAUGUAAUAGCCUUUAGCAAGCACCAAGUUUAGUUAGCUAAAGCUUAAAAGAAAAGAAUAGCCUACAUAAUAUCCACAGCCAGACUAUAGUGGAAAUAUGUGAUCCCUAGACUCAGCUUCUGGUGUCCCAGUCAUUUUAUGCUAAGGAAUUAGGUUGAAUAUGUGCAGAGCACCUCAGCUCAGGCAAGCCAAUAAGCUCUAGGGUCCCUUUAGCCUUUAAUAACAAGAUAAUCACAUAGCCCUUCCAAUAUAUAUGACUGGGAGUCCAUGACGAGCUUCCAUCUACAAAUGCAGUUGUGUGUCAUCAAAGCUGGUUUUUCCUUAUUUAAUAAACAAUGUUGACAGUG